GCUCGGCGCGGACCAACGUAAACACAACAAACAACGUAAACAACAACAAACCCGGCCAGUUAAGUACAAUUCCACCAGACUGGAAGCCAUAACAUGUCUGCCUGGAACCGACCGUACCAUCUCAACCACAGGGGAGUUCCAACACAAACACACCACCCUACACCAUCCAGACCCAUCCACAAACGAACACACCAUCCAAUCAUUCACGGUGAAGGAUGCCAGAGAGCCGGGGGGUAUUCAAUCACCCAACCAGACACAGCGGGAUGAGACGGGAAAAAAAGAGAAGGAAGAAAAAGGGAGAAGCAGAGAGGAGAAAGUUCAUCAUAUCUUCAGCCCACAGGUCACGUCUCCACAAACAGAGAGAGAAUAACACUCUUUAUAUUUCAAGUCACCCUA